rnacentral:rRNA from 1 species
UACGGAGGGUCCAAGCGUUAUCCGGAAUCAUUGGGUUUAAAGGGUCCGUAGGCGGUUUUGUAAGUCAGUGGUGAAAGCCCGUCGCUCAACGGCGGAACGGCCAUUGAUACUGCAAGACUUGAAUUAUUGGGAAGCAACUAGAAUAUGUAGUGUAGCGGUGAAAUGCUUAGAGAUUACAUGGAAUACCAAUUGCGAAGGCAGGUUGCUACCAAUACAUUGACGCUGAUGGACGAAAGCGUGGGGAGCGAACAGG